UCUAAGGAUGAUUAAGGAUUAUUUCUUAAUCUAAAUAUUUAACAGGUUAAUGUUGACCGUCCUCAUUUCUCUUCUUAAGUAGUGUUUCUCUUUUCUGCAUAAGGGCCGGUAGCUCAGUUGGUUAGAGCACACCCUUGAUAAGGGUGGGGUCGAAAGUUCGAGUCUUUCUCGGCCCACCAAAUUAACGGGGGAUUAGCUCAGCUGGGAGAGCGCCUGAUUUGCAUUCAGGAGGUCAGCGGUUCGAUCCCGCUAUCCUCCACCAAGAAACACUUAGUUAUUUAAUUUGUGAAUAUAUUUUUUAAUAUUAUCAAUAUCUAUAUCCGAUUGUUCGAAUAGAUGAACAAUCAUGAAUGUUCGAAUAGAUGAACAUUCCAACAAAAUUUGAUUCAACACAGAAUUUUUUUCUGUGCAUAAAU
rnacentral:tRNA from 1 species